CAAAAAAGAAGAUGGUUUGAGUGUUUUGGGACAAAAACACGCUUCAAAUCCAAAACACGGGAAACACCUCUUCUUUCAUUUCCCUCAACCAAAAUGAAAUCUUGGCCCCUUCCUUCUCUUUCUUCUUCCUCUUCUUCAAUCUCUCCUCGAAUUAUUUUUUCUCUCAUUCCUCAAAAUUGUAUAUCAUCUUCCUCUACCAUCCCAGAAAUUAUAGAUGUACCCAGUCCCAAUCCUUCUGGUAUUGACACCAACCGAACCUCGGAGUCCGAAAAUUCAAGCAAGAUCAAAACCUUCCAGAUUCCUAUUUCAGAAUACCCAUUUUUAAGCCAAAGGAGAGAAACCCUGAUCUUACAUCUAUCCACGCAUCAGUUGUGCUGAAGGUAGUGGAAAUUGUCAACCGAUAUGAUGACACUUGUAUUCCUUCAAAUGGAGACGACAAGGCAGCAAAGCGUGAGAGGCUUUCAUUCAUCCAGAAUGCAAAAACAAAUAAAACCUAUAUCAGGAAUUUAGUUGUCAAUUUAAUCCCUUGAAACUUUUUGUAUUAAUACAUGAGCACUUUCACUUUUCUCCUUUAUUAUUUUGAUUUCAUUGUACAACUUUUGAGCAUCUCUCCAGGUUCCAAAGAAGAUGAAGCAUCCCAUUUAUGUGUAUUAUCAGCUUGAUAACUUCUAUCAAAACCAUCGCUGGUCAAAAUUGGCUGCCCUAUUCUCUUUUGUGGAUUUCAAUUUCAAUUUUAUUUUACAACAGCGUCUCAAAGAAGCAAUGUAUCAAGAUCCAUGUUCAUGAAUCUGGAACCAGAUGUAGAAAUCAAAUAUUUUGAAGAAUGGUUGCCACAGCUACUUGGGAUUCUGGUCUAGACCCUGUAUUACAAGAGUAAAGCAUUCCUUGGGCAAUUCAUGCCUCGACAACUUGCUGAUACUUGGAUUAAUGUGAUUUUGGAAUGCCAUGCUGUGAUUUGGCAUAACUUGUUUAAAAUUCUGCUUCUUUUUAAAGUUUCUUUUGGUAAUAUUAAGGCCUCUACCUGACCUUCCAUGUAAUGGUUUGAUAGUAACUCAUAUUAGUGUAAGGCUACUAUCACUGCUAUUAGUUGGUAAUUUGUGUAGUUUCUGUUUGGUCAGAAUUUAUCUUUUUCUCAAUGAAAUUAGAUUGUGAAUGGAAAGCACAAGCGGGUAAUGUAUGUAUUGCUUCCUUCGACUGAAA